GACGAACGCUGGCGGCGUGCCUAAUACAUGCAAGUAGAACGCUGAAGAGAGGAGCUUGCUCUUCUUGGAUGAGUUGCGAACGGGUGAGGUAACGCGUAGGUAACCUGCCUUGUAGCGGGGGAUAACUAUUGGAAACGAUAGCUAAUACCGCAUAACAAUGGAUGACACAUGUUCAUUUAUUUGAAAGGGGCAAUUGCUCCACUACAAGAUGGGACCUGCGUUGUAUUAGCUAGUAGGUGAGGUAACGGCUCACCUAGGCGACGAUACGAUAGCCGACCUGAGAGGGUGAUCGGCACACUGGACUGAGACACGGCCCAG
rnacentral:rRNA from 1 species